rnacentral:misc_RNA from 1 species
AAGUCGUAACAAGGUUUCCGUAGGUGAACCUGCGGAAGGAUCAUUAUUAAUACUUGGCUAACACCAGUAAUUCAUGUGCAAAACAACCUGACGCUGCCAGUACUUGCAUGGUGUCUGCCCUUGGGUAGGCAUAUUAUUCAUACCUGGCAGCAGCCCUCAUUGACUUGUCAUUGUGGGCAAACGGGCUUCCCUCAAACUCUUGGGUAAGAGGUAGCCUGCAACUUUUAUACAUCAGUCUUGAUAAUCCGUCAUCAGGGAGUAGCUGCAAGGCACUACCUGCUCUGACAUUAAAAGGGUAAAAAACUUUUAGCAACGGAUCUCUAGGCUCUC